UACGUAGGGGGCAAGCGUUGUCCGGAAUCAUUGGGCGUAAAGAGCGUGUAGGCGGGUCGUUAAGUCAGGGGUGAAAUCCUAGAGCUCAACUCUGGAACUGCCUUUGAUACUGGCGACCUAGAGUUCGGAAGGGGUUAGUGGAAUUCCCAGUGUAGAGGUGAAAUUCGUAGAUAUUGGGAAGAACACCAGUGGCGAAAGCGGCUAACUGGUCCGAUACUGACGCUGAGGUGCGAAAGCGUGGGGAGCAAACAGG
rnacentral:rRNA from 1 species